rnacentral:rRNA from 1 species
CGUGUAGGUGGAACUUUAAGUCGGUGGUGAAAGCCUGCAGCUUAACUGCAGAACUGCCCUCGGUACUGAAGUUCUUGAGUGCGGCAGAGGGAGAUGGAAUUCAUGGUGUAGCGGUGAAAUGUGUAGAUAUCAUGAAGAACACCGGUAGCGAAGGCGGUCUCCUGGUCCGUAACUGACACUGAGGCGCGAAAGCGUGGGGAGCAAACAGGAUUAGAUACCCUGGUAGUCCACGCCUUAAACGAUGGGUACUAGGUGCUGGGCCGCAAGGUUCAGUGCCAAAGCUAACGCAUUAAGUACCCCACCUGGGGAGUACGAUCGCAAGGUUGAA